CCCUUAGAUGUUCUGGGCCGCACACGCGCUACACUGAAGGAGGCAGCGUGUACUCCUGGAUCGAAAGAUUUGGGUAACCCGCGAAUCUCCUUCGUGCUAGGGAUUGAGGUUUGCAAUUAUCCUUCAUGAACGAGGAAUUCCCAGUAAGUGCAAGUCAUAAGCUUGCGCUGACUACGUCCCUGCCCUUUGUACACACCGCCCGUCGCUACUACCGAUUGAAUGGUCCGGUGAAGCCUCGGGAUUGCGAAUGCUUCGUGCGGACGCGAGAACUUGGCUAAACCUUACCAUUUAGAGGAAGGUGAANUCGUANCA
rnacentral:rRNA from 1 species